rnacentral:lncRNA from 1 species
CAAAACUCACGUUUUUGCCAAUUCAGGCAUUGUCAACAAUCUCAAUAAUAAUUGCAGACAAAAAUUUCAAAAUUUACAUGCAGUGCAUGUUUAAUUUAGAAGAUAAAUCAAUGUUUAUUUUAAAAUUCAAAGAACGGUUAUGUUAUAUUUUCUAUCCAAAAUGUGAGAUGCUAAAAAAUAACAUUAGAAAAAUUUGAAUUUAUAUUGUCUAGAAUUCUAGAUAGUAACAACAGAAUGCAUUAGAUUCAGGACAACAUAUUAAAUCAACAAUUGUCUUUUUAAAUGUGAAAGUUUGUUGUGUUUCAUAACAAUAAUUUUUUACCAUGUACUGUUAUCUAUUUGAAUGAAUCAAUGCAUAAUUUGUACAUAGGCUUACAUUAGAUGUAUGUACUCAAGGUGAUAUUUUGUACAACGAAAAAUAUGAGUGUUUAGAUUAGCCUGUACCAUUUGUUAUGUUUGAAAGUUGUUAAUGUCUUCAUACUAAUUGUGAUUAUUUCAUAGUUCUGGGAAAUGUAUUUGAAGUGAAAGAACUUCAAUUUUAUGCCUACAUUUUAGGCCAUGGACUAAAUUAUUAUCUGUGGCUCCUAAUUACAUGUAUAUGUUAUGCUUUUAUGCUUUGUUUUUUUUAAUUUCAAGAUUUUUAUUAUUUGAUGUGAAGCUUUUAUGUAGGUAAGUUUGUGUUAAUCCUUAAAACUUUAUUAGAAACUGGCAAGUUGUAGGAUUAAACGAAUUUUUUUUCGAAAAAUAAAAUUGUCCCUGAAAAAGGUUUUAAUUCUCCACCCCUUUUUGAAUAAUGCUGUUGGAAGACAGUGUUGAGGUGUUAUUUCAUAGAAUAAAUAUAUUUAUACCAAUGAUAAGCACUUUAUAAGGAUGUAGACGGUGAUUAAUUUCUUACAGAAUGAAUGGUGAAAAAUUGUAUAACAAUUUGAGCUUUCAUUGAUGGGGCAUACUUAAUUACUUUAUCCGACCAACUCCUGCAGUUUCCAAACUGAAAUAUUUCUUUUUGUGGAAUGUUUGAAGAUAUGAAACAUAUGUGCAUGUUGUCAGGUUCAUUAAGUUAAUCAAAUAUGGAAAUAAACCUUAACUAGAUCAAUAAUUACCUUUUUCUCUAUGUACAUAUUCAUGUAGGUGAAACAUAUGUGUCUUACAUACAUAUGUAGGUUACUUGCAGUGCAAAAAACAAAAUACAGUUUGCCCAAUUAAAUUCAUUGCUCAAAGGCUUUUUUAUCAGGUCUAUUUUUUGCAUUAUUAUUGCUUAAACUUUAGUUUUCAAAUAGUUAACUCAAAAAUCUUUUCUUUGUUUUAAUUGAUGGUUAAUGUCUGGAGUGGAAUAUUGUAAAUAUAUAUUCAGAUCAAUAGCAUUUUAAGGUCAUACUAGACCAACAUGCCAAGUAGGAUUUUUAUCUACCAAUUAAUUUGUUGGAACAGUAAAGUUUGUUCACGAGUCUAGUGAUCAUUAUACUAACUUCUUGCCAACCAGUUUGUGUCCUGGUUAUUGUUGCUUGCUUGUAAUGAAAAGUAGAAACUAGUUUUUGAAGAGUCUGGUGUGUCCCAGUUGUUCUUACUUGGUAUUUAGUUAAAUAAGGAUAUUAUGGUAAAGGUUGCAUUAAAGUUCAAUUGAAUCCUGGUCACUUACUGUUAAGCUUAAUUUCAGCCACCCUCCUAAAAUAAUUUUUUGGGAGUAGACUGAACAUACUUAGUGCAGUGAGGUGAACAUGAAUACGAUCCUAUCCAUGUCAAGUAUGUGUGUGUUAUUUAUACCAGGUCAUAUUUUGUUCAGAUAACAAUUUACAUGUAAGGUGGAAGAAUACUACUAUUAUGGACCAAGGAAGAUAACUCAAUUUAUAAAUAUUUUCUAACUACUAUUUCACCAUACACAAUAAAGACAAGAUUAAAACCACAUUUUAGUAGUAUCUGCUGUUGCUAUAUUCAUAUCUGAGCUAAAAGAAGCCGGAGUAAAAAGUUUUUGCUAUAGCUUUUUUUUUAAUACUGUUUUAUUAAGCACUAUGGAACCACUGUCAUUUUUUCCAAUACAAUAUAUAGUUAAAAUUAUCUUCUUGCAUUUCAUUAAUCAGAUGGUUUCUAAACACUUACUAAUUUUACGUUCUGUAAAGUGGGAAAUUUUUUGGAGGAGAUUAUUUUUCUUAGUUAAUGAUUUAGAGAGAAAAAAAUGGAGAAAAUAUCACCUUGCCUAAAUUUUUAUCCUCUUAGAAAGAUUAGAAACAGGAAAAGAAAAAUCAUGAAACUCCUGGACAAAAAUCCACAAUUAUAUGAUAAGAAAAGGCUGCUUGCGUGCAAUUUUUUUCUUUAAAUUUGUAAUGGGGUUCUAAAAAGGGUUUCUGUGCAUUUAUUUAAAUUUAAAGGGCCAACAUGGUUGAAGUGAAAUUUGAUCAUGUUUUUUUUAAUGAAUGUAAUAUUUUGUAAAAAGCCUUUGAUGACCCUGACAUUAACCAUAGAUUUCUCCUGAGAAAUACAAGCUCCUUUAAAGACUAUAGUUUGGUAUUGUACAUUUUUUUGGUGCUAUUGAAUAGAUAAAGCUAACAAGCAUUGCUCAUUUCAUUGAUUAUAGAUAUAUUUAUAUAACUUGUAAUUAGCUCAUAUGAACCAAAGGGUUAUUUUGAGGUAUAUAUAGAAUGUUAUGUCAUCCAUUUAGUGACUUUUUAUUUUCAACAUCUCCAUCAAAACUUUUUUAAAUUGAUACAAACUUUGCAGAAAUAAUGUAUGGAUGUUUCUUUAUGGAAAAAAAUACUUUGGUCAGCCAAAAUAUCAUUGCUGCUAGAAUUAAUUUUAAUUCUGAUUGGUCAAGGAAUAGGUCCAUGAAUGCAUUUAGCCCUUAAAAUCACAAUUUGCUAUACUGCAAGAAAUUGGCAGUAACAGUGUUUUGUCAUGUUACGGUUUUCAUUUUCUCACAAAUGAUCAUUUUGGUCAGAGCAUAUAGGCAAUGUUUCUGAAAUCCAAAUCAUGUAUAUUGUUGUGACUUUAUAAUGGCAUGAUGAAAAUCACUUGUAAAAUAGCUCAAUUCAGGUAUAUCAAAAUAUUUGUAUGUAAAAUUAGUGUUAUUAUUUUAGGUUAAAUUUUAUGGAUUUUCUGUACAAUUUUUCACCCUGUCUUAGCCCUGCAAAACAGGCCAAAGAAAAACAAACAAAAUUACCUUCUUUGUUGUAAUUUUAAGUUUGCAAUCUGAAAAGUCACAAUUAAAAUAAAAAUUUACAUAUUUCCACAUAUAAUACCAUAUUAAUUGAUGAUUUAGAGAACAUGUUCAAAAUUUCUAAACCCUAAAGAUCUUCUGAGAUACAAGGUUAUGCCUCAUUGGUUGGUUUGAACCCAAUGAGAACUCAAGAUUUUUCUCAUAUUCUGUAAAGCUUAAGUAUCAAACUUUCUCAGAAAAAUGUAAAGUAAAGUGAAAUGAUUCAUGCUAACCUUUAAAUUUAACAAAACUACUAGUAAGUGCUAAUCCUACUCUAAAAUAGAAUUUUUCUAUGUAUAAACUAUCAAAGAACUAGGCAAUAACAGCCUAUUUAAGAUUUGAUAUUCUGAACAGUGUGCAUGCAAGUUCCAAACAUUACUACAGAGUUACUGAUAUAGGCCCUCUUUACUCUUUACUUUAUAUUUCAUAUUGCCUUAGCAAUGACAUAACAUUCAAAUUUGAAAAUUAUGGCACUAUUUAUCUUUUGCACGAGGUGAAACAAUUUGUUAAAUACUGGGUUAGGCCGUAUGUGUUUCAUUUAAUGUAAAUGUAUUUUAGGCCAAUCAAUGUUUGUAAUUUUUAUACGACCGCAAAAAUUUUAAUUUUUCGUCGUAUAUUGCUAUCACGUUGGCGUCGUCGUCGUCCGAAUACUUUUAGUUUUCGCACUCUUACUUUAGUAAAAGUGAAUAGAAAUCAAUGAAAUUUUAACACAAGGUUUAUGACCACAAAAGGAAGGUUGGGAUUGAUUUUGGGAGUUUUGGUCCCAACAUUUUAGGAAUUAGGGGCCAAAAAGGGCCCAAAUAAGCAUUUUCUUGGUUUUCACACUAUAACUUUAGUUUAAGUGAAUAGAAAUCUAUGAAAUUUUGACACAAGGUUUAUGACCACAAAAGGAAGGUUGGGAUUGAUUUUGGGAGUUUUGGUUCCUACAGUUUAGGAAUAAGGGGCCAAAAAAGGGCCCAAAUAAGCAUUAUUCUUGUUUUUGCACAAUAACUUUAGUAUAAGUAAAUAGAAAUCUAUGAAAUUUAAACACAAGGUUUAUGACCAUAAAGUGAAGAUUGGGUUUGAUUUUGGGAGUUUUGGUCCCAACAGUUUAGGAAUAAGGGGCCCAAAGGGUCCAAAAUUGAACUUUGUUUGAUUUCAUCAAAAAUUGAAUAAUUGGGGUUCUUUGAUAUGCCGAAUCUAACUGUGUAUGUAGAUUCUUAAUUUUUGGUCCCGUUUUCAAAGUGGUCUACAUUAAGGUCCAAAGGGUCCAAAAUUAAACUUAGUUUGAUUUUAACAAACAUUAAAUCCUUGGGGGUUCUUUGAUAUGCUGAAUCUAAAAAUGUACUCAGAUUUUUUAUUAUUGGCCCAGUUUUCAAGUUGGACCAAAUCGGGGUCCAAAAUUAAACUUUGUUUGAUUUCAUCAAAAAUUGAAUAAUUGGGGUUCUUUGAUAUGCCAAAUCUAACUGUGUAUGUAGAUACUUAAUUUUUGGUCCCAUUAUCAAAUUGGUCUACAUUAAAGUCCAACGGGUCCAAAAUUAAGUUUGAUUUUAACAAAAAUUGAAUUCUUGGGCUUUUUUGAUAUGCUGAAUCUAAACAUGUACUUAGAUUUUUGAUUAUGGGCCCAGUUUU